ACCCAAGUGGUGCAGCCUAACAGGCCUCUGGAAACCACCAAAACAUUCCGCGAUGGCAGAGCUUCCCCAGGAAACAGCUUUUCUUCAGCAAUCAGCCUCGGAGCAGGAACCAGCAAAGUCUAAUGGGCAGUUAAAGGAAUUAGUCCCCAUUUCCCUGGUGUGCUUUACAGUUCACGGCCCUGAUUUACAGAACUUAAAUCUUCAGCAAAUAGAUUUUUCCCUGUUCCUCUCAGGGCACAGAUCCACCUCCUCCCCACAGCUCCCCUGCCGGGCCCAGCAGAGAGGAGGGAGCUGCCAACACAGCUCUCACGGCUCUUCAGAAGCUGCUGGGAACAAGCAGGACUCUGCUGAUCACCUUGUUUUGGAAUUUGCUGAAUAUAAGCAGAAAUGGCUCCGAGAAGAGGAACAAACUCUUCCAACAGUCCCUGUGUAGCCCACUGAGACACCACCAACACCACUCCUAACUGAGAUGAAUAUUUCAUCUGGAGGAACCAGAGGCUGCUCUCACUUGAGCAAAAUAGCAACAAAACCAACCUAGCACUUGCUUGGCUUUUCCCUUCCUCAGAAAGAGAGGGAGAAAAACUACUGUGUAAGCCUCUUUAAAAGCCACCCGGUCCCUGGGUGAGGGAUCUCCUUGUCUGCCAACAGUCCUGAGGAGCAAAAAUCAGGUUCUACACAAGAAAACGGGGUACAACUUGAGAUAUCUUUGAAAGCAAUCAUUUCUCUUUGUGAUAAUCUCCAUUCUUGUCUCCAGUCAUAUUUUGUUUCAUGUGUAAAUAUGUGUGUAACAGAACACAGGACUGAGGUUUCAAACCUAAACAGAAAAUGUUAUAAAUAAAGACCUCAACAGAACAAACAAAUGAAGAAGGAAA